rnacentral:rRNA from 1 species
AUUGAACGCUGGUGGCAGGCUUAACACAUGCAAGUCGAACGAGUGGCGGACGGGUGAGUAAUGCUUGGGAAUCUAGCUUAUGGAGGGGGAUAACUACGGGAAACUGUAGCUAAUACCGCGUACAAUAGGAUGAGCCCAAGUGGGCUUAGGUAGUUGGUGAGGUAAAGGCUCACCAAGCAGACGAUCUCUAGCUGGUCUGAGAGGAUGACAAGCCACACUGGGACUGAGACACGGCCCAGACUCCUACUGGAGGCAGCAGUGGGGAAUAUUGCGAAAUGGGGGCAACCUGACGCAGCCAUGCCGCGUGAAUGAAGAAGGCCUUCGGGUUGUAAAGUUCUUUCGGUAGCGAGUCGUUAACUACAGAAGAAGCACCGGCUAACUCCGUGCCAGCAGCCGCGGUAAUAC